GAUGAACGCUGGCGGCGUGCUUAACACAUGCAAGUCGAACGGAAAGGCCAGUGCUUGCACUGGUACUCGAGUGGCGAACGGGUGAGUAACACGUGGGUGAUCUGCCCUGUACUUCGGGAUAAGCUUGGGAAACUGGGUCUAAUACCGGAUAGGACAACUUUUUGGAUAUUGUUGUGGAAAGCUUUUGCGGUAUGGGAUGAGCUCGCGGCCUAUCCGCUUGUUGGUGGGGUAAUGGCCUACCAAGGCGUCGACGGGUAGCCGGCCUGAGAGGGUGUACGGCCACAUUGGGACUGAGAUACGGCCCAGACUCCUACGGGAGGCAGCAGUGGGGAAUAUUGCACAAUGGGCGCAAGCCUGAUGCAGCGACGCCGCGUGGGGGAUGAAGGCCUUCGGGUUGUAAACUCCUUUCGCUAGGGACGAAGCGUAAGUGACGGUACCUGGAGAAGAAGCACCGGCUAACUACGUG
rnacentral:rRNA from 1 species